AAGAAGCGUAUACUAACGUUGUUGCAGUUAAAAAGCUCGUAGUUGAAUUUUUUGUAAGGAUGAUCUGAUCUUUUUCUGAAUGGAAAUUGUUUAAUCAUGUGUCGUCUUGGCAAAUUAUUAGAAUUAAUUUGUGUUAAUUCUUCUUUCACUGUAAAAAAAUUAGAGUGUUUCAAGCAAAAUGUAGGUUUGGAAUAUAAUAGUAUGGAAUGAUAAGAUAGGACUCUUUUACUAUUUUGUUGGUUUGUAUAAGAGAGUAAUGAUUAAUAGGGACAAUUGGGGGUAUUCGUAUUCAGAUGUCAGAGGUGAAAUUCUUGGAUUUUCGGAAGACGAACAACUGCGAAGGCAUUUACCAAGGAUGUUUNCAUUAA
rnacentral:rRNA from 1 species